rnacentral:siRNA from 1 species
UUGUCUUCUUGAUCCAGGUAC